GACGAACGCUGGCGGCGUGCCUAACACAUGCAAGUCGAACGAAGAGCGACGGCAGCUUGCUUCUAUCAAUCUUAGUGGCGAACGGGUGAGUAACGCGUAAUCAACCUUCCCCUUUGGGGGGGCCAACAGUUGGAAACGCCUGCUAAUACCGCAUACGACCUCUCCACGGCAUCGAGGAUAGAUGUACGGCGGCCUCUACAUGUCACCCAUCACUGCAGCAGGGGGGUGCGUCAGAUGAGCUAGUUGGAGGGGUAACGUCGCAGCCAGGCGAGGAUGAGUAGCCGGACGGAGAGGAUGGGCGGCCACAUUGGGACUGAGACACGCCACAGUCGGCUACGGGGGGCAGCAGUGGGGAUACUUGCGCAAGGGACGAAGGACUGACGGAGCAACGCCGCGUGAGUGAGGACGGCCGUCGGGUUGUAGAGCUCGGUUAUUCGGGACGAAAGGCCUUUUUGCGAAGAGGGAGAAGGAUUGACGGUAACGGAAUAGAAAGCCACGGCUAACUACGUG
rnacentral:rRNA from 1 species